rnacentral:misc_RNA from 1 species
UCAAACUUGGUCAUUUAGAGGAAGUAAAAGUCUUAACAAGGUUUCCGUAGGAUCAUUCGCAACAUGUGUUUUUUUUUAAAGAAAAGUAAAUCCUUCGCUACCCCAUGUGCAAUGUUGCAAUGUAUGAGAAUAUCAUCAACUCUUUGCUUUGAACCAGUUCGUCUGAAAUAAACAUAUUCUUUGACUAACUUUAUUCAGAAAUACAACUUUCAACAACGGAUCUCUUGGCUCUCGCAUCGAUGAAGAACGCAGC